rnacentral:rRNA from 1 species
AGUGAACGCUGGCGGUAGGCCUAACACAUGCAAGUCGAACGGCAGCACAGGAGAGCUUGCUCUCUGGGUGGCGAGUGGCGGACGGGUGAGGAAUACAUCGGAAUCUGCCCAGUCGUGGGGGAGAACGUAGGGAAACUUACGCUAAUACCGCAUACGACCUCCGGGGGAAAGAGGGGGAUCGCAAGACCUCUCGCGCGUGGAUGAGCCGAUGUCGGAUUAGCUAGUUGGCGGGGUAAUGGCCCACCAAGGCGACGAUCCGUAGCUGGUCUGAGAGGAUGAUCAGCCACACUGGAACUGAGACACGGUCCAGACUCCUACGGGAGGCAGCAGUGGGGAAUAUUGGACAAUGGGCGCAAGCCUGAUCCAGCCAUACCGCGUGGGUGAAGAAGGCCUUCGGGUUGUAAAGCCCUUUUGUUGGGAAAGAAAUCUUUCAGGCUAAUACCCUGGGAGGAUGACGGUACCCAAAGAAUAAGCACCGGCUAACUUCGUG